GCCGAUGUGGCGGAAGUGGUAGACGCGCACGACUCAAAAUCGUGUUCCUCACGGAGUGUGGGUUCGAAUCCCACCAUCGGCA
rnacentral:tRNA from 1 species